AUGCCAGAACCCUCUUAGUUCAAUUUCACUUGGGGUCCUUGUAAGUCAUGAAAAUGGUCCUUCUACAUCUAUUCUUGUUGUUUGUCCUUCCUUCUAGAAGAGGACCAACGACAUCACUAGCAAGAUAUCAUCAGAGCUGCCCAAAGUCAUCAGCCUUGCUCUCUCCUCCAGAGUCAACAGAGUCCAGUGGCAAGACAAAGGUCAAGAUGGUCCAGGAUAAUUCUAUGAUUAUAUGCAAAAGAGGAGCCAAGUCUGUGAGGUGUCAGAGUCCAAUGUGAAAUGGGAAGAGUGUUAUGCUAAGGAGAAACUUCUGAUUUAUCCUGAGUCCUGUGUCACUGGGGUUCUAGGACCAGCAGCCCUCCGAAUUUAAGAACAACUUCUAGGACAAAUGAAAGGAGACCUAUAGGGCACGGUAGAUAUGGGGAACUCCAGAGAAGAGUGACCUUUUGUAUCUGAGAAUGCCUUUGCUCCAGAAACACUUCUCUACUGAUCUCCUCUUUUACUAUUUCAUUCUGCCAAUACCACAGAAAUUCCAGGAAGUAGGAG